AGAGUUUGAUCCUGGCUCAGGAUGAACGCUGGCGGCGUGCCUAACACAUGCAAGUCGAGCGAGAUUUAGUGGAGUGCGGACUUCGGUCCAAGUGAAGCUAAUGGAAGCGGCGGACGGGUGAGUAACGCGUGGGCAACCUGCCCCAUACAAAGGGAUAGCCACUGGAAACGGUGAUUAAUACCCCAUAAACCCACAAGACCGCAUGGUCAAAUGGGCAAAGUUCCAACGGUACAGGAUGGGCCCGCGUUUGAUUAGCUAGUUGGUGAGGUAACGGCUCACCAAGGCGACGAUCAAUAGCCGACCUGAGAGGGUGAUCGGCCACACUGGAACUGAGACACGGUCCAGACUCCUACGGGAGGCAGCAGUGGGGAAUAUUGCACAAUGGGCGCAAGCCUGAUGCAGCAACGCCGCGUGAGUGAUGAAGGCCUUCGGGUCGUAAAACUCUGUCCUAUGGGAAGAAUAAAAUGACGGUACCAUAGGAGGAAGCCCCGGCUAACUACGUGCCAGCAGCCGCGGUAAUACGUAGGGGGCAAGCGUUAUCCGGAAUUACUGGGCGUAAAGGGUGCGUAGGUGGCUGAUCAAGCCAGAGGUGAAAGGCAUUGGCUCAACCAAUGUAAGCCUUUGGAACUGAUCGGCUUGAGUGCAGGAGAGGUAAGUGGAAUUCCAUGUGUAGCGGUAAAAUGCGUAGAUAUAUGGAGGAACACCAGUGGCGAAGGCGGUUGCCUGGCCUGUAACUGACGCUGAGGCUCGAAAGCGUGGGGAGCAAAUAGGAUUAGAUACCCUAGUAGUCCACGCUGUAAACGAUGAUUACUAAGUGUUGGAGCAAAAAAUUCAGUGCUGCAGUUAACGCAAUAAGUAAUCCGCCUGGGGAGUAUGCACGCAAGUGUGAAACUCAAAGGAAUUGACGGGGGCCCGCACAAGCGGUGGAGUAUGUGGUUUAAUUCGAAGCAACGCGAAGAACCUUACCAAGUCUUGACAUCCCUCUGAAUGGCGCUUAGCAGCGCAGGUCUUGCAGGAGCCCAGACACAGGUGGUGCAUGGUUGUCGUCAGCUCGUGUCGUGAGAUGUUGGGUUAAGUCCCGCAACGAGCGCAACCCUUGUUGCUAGUUACCAGCACGUAAUGGUGGGAACUCUAGCGAGACUGCCGGUGACAAACCGGAGGAAGGUGGGGAUGACGUCAAAUCAUCACGCCCCUUACGACCAGGGCCACACACGUACUACAAUGCCCGGUACAAAGGGCAGCGAAACCGCGAGGUGAAGCAAAUCUUUUAAAGCCGGUCCCAGUUCGGAUUGCAGGCUGAAACUCGCCUGCAUGAAGUUGGAGUUGCUAGUAAUCGCGGAUCAGCAUGCCGUGGUGAAUGCGUUCCCGGGUCUUGUACACACCGCCCGUCACACCAUGGAAGUUGGGGGGACCCGAAGCCAGUGAUCCAACCGUAAGGAGGAAGCUGUCGAAGGUAAAACCAAUGACUGGGGUGAAGUCGUAACAAGGUAACC
rnacentral:rRNA from 1 species